AUUGAACGCUGGCGGCAUGCUUUACAUAUGCAAGUCGAACGGUAACAGGGUGCUUGCACCGCUGACGAGUGGCGAACGGGUGAGUAAUGCGUCGGAACGUGCCGAGUAGUGGGGGAUAACGCAGCGAAAGUUGUGCUAAUACCGCAUACGUACUGAGAUAGAAAGUGGGGGACCUUUGGGCCUCACGCUAUUCGAGCGGCCGACGUCUGAUUAGCUAGUAGGUGAGGUAAAGGCUCACCUAGGCGACGAUCAGUAGCUGGUCUGAGAGGAUGAUCAGUCACACUGGAACUGAGACACGGUCCAGACUCCUACGGGAGGCAGCAGUGGGGAAUAUUGGACAAUGGGCGAAAGCCUGAUCCAGCCAUGCCGCGUGUGUGAAGAAGGUCUUCGGAUUGUAAAGCACUUUAAGUUGGGAGGAAGGGUCGUAGAUUAAUACUCUGCAAUUUUGACGUUACCGACAGAAUAAGCACCGGCUAACUCUGUGCCAGCCGCCGCAGUAAAAC
rnacentral:rRNA from 1 species